CCAUGCCGCGUGUGUGAAGAAGGCCUUCGGGUUGUAAAGCACUUUCAGUCAGGAGGAAAGGUUAGUAGUUAAUACCUGCUAGCUGUGACGUUACUGACAGAAGAAGCACCGGCUAACUCCGUGCCAGCAGCCGCGGUAAUACGGGAGGGUGCGAGCUUAAUCGGAAUUACUGGGCGUAAAGCGUACGCAGGCGGUUUGUUAAGCGAGAUGUGAAAGCCCCGGGCUCAACCUGGGAACUGCAUUUCGAACUGGCAAACUAGAGUGUGAUAGAGGGUGGUAGAAUUUCAGGUGUAGCGGUGAAAUGCGUAGAGAUCUGAAGGAAUACCGAUGGCGAAGGCAGCCACCUGGGUCAACACUGACGCUCAUGUACGAAAGCGUGGGGAGCAAACAGGAUUAGAUACCCUGGUAGUCCACGCCGUAAACGAUGUCUACUAGAAGCUCGGAACCUCGGUUCUGUUUUUCAAAGCUAACGCAUUAAGUAGACCGCCUGGGGAGUACGGCCGCAAGGUUAAAACUCAAAUGAAUUGACGGGGGCCCGCACAAGCGGUGGAGCAUGUGGUUUAAUUCGAUGCAACGCGAAGAACCUUACCUACACUUGACAUACAGAGAACUUACCAGAGAUGGUUUGGUGCCUUCGGGAACUCUGAUACAGGUGCUGCAUGGCUG
rnacentral:rRNA from 1 species